rnacentral:rRNA from 1 species
GAGAGCGGCGUACGGGUGCGGAACACGUGUGCAACCUGCCUUUAUCUGGGGGAUAGCCUUUCGAAAGGAAGAUUAAUACCCCAUAAUAUAUUGAAUGGCAUCAUUUGAUAUUGAAAACUCCGGUGGAUAGAGAUGGGCACGCGCAAGAUUAGAUAGUUGGUGAGGUAACGGCUCACCAAGUCAACGAUCUUUAGGGGGCCUGAGAGGGUGAUCCCCCACACUGGUACUGAGACACGGACCAGACUCCUACGGGAGGCAGCAGUGAGGAAUAUUGGACAAUGGGUGAGAGCCUGAUCCAGCCAUCCCGCGUGAAGGACGACGGCCCUAUGGGUUGUAAACUUCUUUUGUAUAGGGAUAAACCUACCCUCGUGAGGGUAGCUGAAGGUACUAUACGAAUAAGCACCGGCUAACUCCGUGCCAGCAGCCGCGGUAAUACGGAGGGUGCAAGCGUUAUCCGGAUUUAUUGGGUUUAAAGGGUCCGUAGGCUGAUCUGUAAGUCAGUGGUGAAAUCUCACAGCUUAACUGUGAAACUGCCAUUGAUACUGCAAGGCUUGAGUGUUGUUGAAGUAGCUGGAAUAAGUAGUGUAGCGGUGAAAUGCAUAGAUAUUACUUAGAACACCAAUUGCGAAGGCAGGUUACUAAGCAACAACUGACGCUGAUGGACGAAAGCGUGGGGAGCGAACAGGAUUAGAUACCCUGGUAGUCCACGCCGUAAACGAUGCUAACUCGUUUUUGGAUUUUCGGAUUCAGAGACUAAGCGAAAGUGAUAAGUUAGCCACCUGGGGAGUACGUUCGCAAGAAUGAAACUCAAAGGAAUUGACGGGGGCCCGCACAAGCGGUGGAUUAUGUGGUUUAAUUCGAUGAUACGCGAGGAACCUUACCAAGGCUUAAAUGGGAAAUGACAGGUUUAGAAAUAGACUUUUCUUCGGACAUUUUUCAAGGUGCUGCAUGGUUGUCGUCAGCUCGUGCCGUGAGGUGUUAGGUUAAGUCCUGCAACGAGCGCAACCCCUGUCACUAGUUGCCAUCAUUAAGUUGGGGACUCUAGUGAGACUGCCUACGCAAGUAGAGAGGAAGGUGGGGAUGACGUCAAAUCAUCACGGCCCUUACGCCUUGGGCCACACACGUAAUACAAUGGCCAGUACAGAGGGCAGCUACACGGUGACGUGAUGCAAAUCUCGAAAGCUGGUCUCAGUUCGGAUUGGAGUCUGCAACUCGACUCUAUGAAGCUGGAAUCGCUAGUAAUCGCGCAUCAGCCAUGGCGC